AACGAACGCUGGCGGCAUGCCUAACACAUGCAAGUCGAACGAGACCUUCGGGUCUAGUGGCGCACGGGUGCGUAACGCGUGGGAACCUGCCCUUAGGUUCGGAAUAACUCCCCGAAAGGGGUGCUAAUACCGGAUAAUGUCUUCGGACCAAAGAUUUAUCGCCUUUGGAUGGGCCCGCGUUGGAUUAGCUGGUUGGUAGGGUAAAAGCCUACCAAGGCGACGAUCCAUAGCUGGUCUGAGAGGAUGAUCAGCCACACUGGGACUGAGACACGGCCCAGACUCCUACGGGAGGCAGCAGUGGGGAAUAUUGGACAAUGGGCGAAAGCCUGAUCCAGCAAUGCCGCGUGAGUGAUGAAGGCCUGAGGGUUGUAAAGCUCUUUUACCCGGGAUGACAAUGACAGUACCGGGAGAAUAAGCUCCGGCUAACUCCGU
rnacentral:rRNA from 1 species